rnacentral:misc_RNA from 1 species
AAUCUUUCCAGUCACUCUCUUUCUGGGCUACCGAACCGGACAGAACGCAAGAGCCCCCUUUACGAGGAAUUGAUUAUCCAGAAGCUUCAGAUCAAACGGAGAACGGGAACUGGUCUACAAUCCAUUGACCGACGCUAAAUGGGAUCUGGGGCGGGCAGUUUUUUCAAGGUCAUCCUCAAAAACUUCGAUGUUCUUGCCGGGCCUCUUGUGAGUCUUGUUUAUCCUCUAUAUGCAUCAGUAAGAGCCAUAGAAACAAAGUCUCCUGUGGACGAUCAGCAAUGGCUUACUUACUGGAUUCUAUAUUCUAUGCUCACCCUCUUUGAGCUGACAUUUGCAAAAG